rnacentral:rRNA from 1 species
AUUGAACGCUGGCGGAAUGCUUUACACAUGCAAGUCGAAUGGCAGCACGGACUUCGGUCUGGUGGCGAGUGGCGAACGGGUGAGUAAUGUAUCGGAGCGUGCCCAGUCGUGGGGGAUAACGUAGUGAAAAUUACGCUAAUACCGCAUACGGUCUAUGGAUGAAAGCGGGGGAUCGCAAGACCUCGCGCGAUUGGAGCGGCCGAUAUCAGAUUAGGUAGUUGGUGGGGUAAAGGCCCACCAAGCCAACGAUCUGUAGCUGGUCUGAGAGGACGACCAGCCAUACUGGAACUGAGACACGGUCCAGACUCCUACGGGAGGCAGCAGUGGGGAAGUUUGGACAAUGGGCGAAAGCCUGAUCCAGCCAUUCCGCGUGCAGGAUGAAGGCCCUCGGGUUGUAAACUGCUUUUGUACAGAACGAAAAGGUUUCUACUAAUACUAGGAGCUCAUGACGGUGCUGUGAGAAUAAGCACCGGCUAACUACGUGCCAGCCGCCGCAGUAA